GGGGGUGUACUGGUUUCGACAGAUUUCAUACGAGCUCUUGAUGCGUCAGGAAGGCAGCGACUACCUAAAAACGCUACAGUUAAAUAUAACUGCAAACAAUAAUAAUAAUUUUGCUUUAGCAGCCUAAUAACUGCUUGCAAAGAUCAGCCCGGUAUCGCCCAUGUACCGGUUCCUGGUCUCAAUUAAGUGGGAUACGAUUUAACUUUCCGUCUGCAAGUUAAGUAAGAGAUCAUCAGACUCGCGACCUCAAAUGCCUGUUGGCCGGCUAUGAGACAGCUAAAUCUUAAUAGGAUCAACUAUUGACGUAGAUUCGGGAGUGGCGGGCUUUCUGGACAGGGGUUCGAUUCCCCUCAUCUCCAUAA
rfam:Eremococcus coleocola ACS-139-V-Col8 contig00018, whole genome shotgun sequence.